GUGUGCCCUGGGCCAUCUUGCGCAGGCGGACGGCUUCUUGAGCGAGCCGUUCUUCGAGUGAGGAAGUCUGUGUAGUGCGACGCCGAUUGAACAUG
rnacentral:tRNA from 1 species